UAAGCAUAUCAAUAAGCGGAGGAAAAGAAACCAACAGGGAUUGCCUCAGUAACGGCGAGUGAAGCGGCAACAGCCCAGAUUUGAAAUCUGGCCUUCUGGCCCGAGUUGUAAUCUGUAGAUGAGUCUUUGGGUUACGUGCCGUCCAAGUCCCCUGGAAUGGGGCGCCAUAGAGGGUGAGAGCCCCGUACCGACGUGCGCCGCGCCUGUUUAAAGCUCAUUCGAAGAGUCGAGUAGUUUGGAAAUGCUGCUCUAAUUGUGGGGUAAAUCUCCCAUAAGGCUAAAUAUUGGCCAGAGACCGAUAGCGCACAAGUAGCGUGAGCGAAAGAUGAAAAGAGCCUUGAAUAAGGGCGUCAAAAAGUAUGUGAAAUUGUUAUGGGGGAAGCGCUUAGUGCCAGACGUGGUGGCGGUUGGUUACCCGGUGUUCCUCACCGGCGCACUCUUCCGUCGCCAGGCCAGCAUCGGUUCGGCUUGGGGCUCAAUGCUGCAGGGAACGUGGCUCUUCGGAGUGUUAUAGCCUUGUAGCGACGUCCCGGACCGGACCGAGGUUCGCGCAUCUGCUCGGAUGCUGGCGUAAUGGCCCUCAGCGACCCGUCUUGAAACACGGACCAAGGAGUUGACCUAGCACGCGAGUGUUUGGGUGUCAAGCCCUCACGCGCAGUGAAAGCGAACGCAGGUGGGAGCCUCGGCGCACCAUCGACCGAUCCUGAAGUUUACGGAUGGAUUUGAGUAGGAGCGUGUUGGGUCUGACCCGAAAGAAGGUGAACUAUGCAUGAAUAGGGUGAAGCCAGAGGAAACUCUGGUGGAGGCUCGCAGCGGUUCUGACGUGCAAAUCGAUCGUCAAAUUUGUGCAUGGGGGCGAAAGACCAAUCGAACCUUCUAGUAGCUGGUUCCUG
rnacentral:rRNA from 1 species